GCGAGAGUGGUGGAAUGGUAGACACGCUAGAUUUAGGAUCUAGUGCCUUCGGGCGUGCGGGUUCAAGUCCCGCCUCUCGCACCA
rnacentral:tRNA from 2 species